CAAUAGCGUAUAUUAAAGUUGUUGCAGUUAAAAAGCUCGUAGUUGGAUUUCUGCUGAGAACGACCGGUCCGCCCUUUGGGUGUGUAUCUGGCUCUUUCUUGGCAUCUUCUUGGUGAACGUUGCUGCACUUGACUGUGUGGAGCGCUACCCAGGACUUUUACUUUGAGGAAAUUAGAGUGUUUCAAGCAGGCAUACGCCUUGAAUACAUUAGCAUGGAAUAAUAAGAUAGGACCUCGGUUCUAUUUUGUUGGUUUCUAGAGCUGAGGUAAUGAUUAAUAGGGAUAAUUGGGGGCAUCUGUAUCAACGCGUCAGAGGUGGAAUUCUUAGAUUGCGUUGCGACAAACUACUGCGAAAGCAUUUGCCAAGGAUGUUUUCAUUGA
rnacentral:rRNA from 1 species